UAAACAAGUGAUGAGCUUUUGUUACCGCCCCAGUCUGAUUUUUAAAUUCAUGACUGAUUGGUCUCCUCUGAUCUCAG